rnacentral:lncRNA from 1 species
AUUUUAUUUAAUUGGCUUUGUAAUAAUGCCAGAUUUGAAAGAAAUACAUGUGAAGUAUAUGUAAAAAUCGUUUUGUUCAAAAUAAAAUGUUAAAAGACAUAUAAAAAGAAAGAGAUUUGUAAGCUUUAAUUAGUUGAAAAAUAAGCUAUAAAAUAUUACAAAAAUGUAUAUGUACAAUAAAUUUGUCAAAUUUGAGACUCCUUGUGAAGGGGAUGCAUAUAAUCAUUCGGCCCCCCCCAAAAAAAAGAAAUCAUGAACGUUCCAAAAAAGGAGUCCCGUUCUCCUAACUUUAGUUUGCCUCAACCAAAAUUAGGAAAUACUACAAAACUUAUACACAAUAUAAAAAAGAAAAUGUGGCAUGAGUGUCAAUGAGAACUCUCCACAAGAGACCAAAUGACUCAGAAAUUAACAACUAUAGGUCACCAUACGGCCUUCAACAAUGAGCAAAGUCCAUACACAAUAGUCAGCUAUAAAAGGCAUACGAAAUGACAAUGUAAAACAAUUCAAACGAGAGAACUAACGGCCUAAUUUAUGUACAAAAAACAAAUAUGUAACACAUAAAUAAACGACAAUCACUGAAUUACAGGCUCCUGACUUGGGACAGGCACAUACAUACAGAAUAAGGCGG